rnacentral:misc_RNA from 1 species
CUUAUUCUUCCUCAGUUGUAUCUCUCGUUCUCUCACUGUAAGUGAAAGAAGAAAGACAAUGUUCACUGAUAGAUGGGUUCGAGAGGAUUUUCGUGAAUCAGAAAUGGACAAAAAACUUCUUUAUAAAGAAAUGCCCAGUGCACCUCCUAUCAGUUCUACUGUAAACAUGGAACAAAGGUUUGAGAAAAUUUCAGCUUUUAGCGCUAAUGGUAUACCUCAUAUUGCAAAUUUGAAUAGUCAUGUAGCCAUAGAUAAACCAAAAUCAGCAAACUUUGUUUAUUCUAGCAACACUGUACUGAAUGGAACUGGCAAUGGUAUUCCUGACCCAUCUACAAGGUUUGUCUGGACGUUUUGAUUUCUACAUGUACUGAAUACUCAUUUCCUGACAAGAACUUACAAUUGUCUCUUGUGCAUUAUAGGUUUGCAGCUGGCAAAGAAGUUAAUGUACCUACAAGCUCUUUACCUGCUCGCCUCCCCACAUUUCAUGCAAGUGCACAAGGUCCUUGGUGUGCUGUGAUUUCCUAUGAUGCAUGUGUUCGCCUAUGUCUUCACUCAUGGGCCAAAGGUUGUGCCGAAGAUGCUCCCUACUUCUUGAGUGAUGAAUGUGCAUCAUUGCGCAAUUCAUUUGGUUUACAGCAAGUAUUGUUACAAUCAGAAGAAGAACUUUUGGCAAAACGAUCUUCAGAGUUGAUAAGUGAGGGAGCUGCCCCAAAAUCUAAGAAAACUUUUGGCAAAAUGAAAGUGCAAGUACGUAAAGUGAAAAUGGGUUUAGAACCACCUGCAGGCUGCAGCUUUUCAUCUUUAAAUCCAUCUACACUAAAACUCGAACCACUUCGUCAACAGUUGUCAAUUUUAAAUUCUACAUUACAUACUGGGUGGGAAGCUGUAAGGAAAGUUCGUGUGACUCCUCAUAUUCCUCCAAAUGGUUCUAUUUCACAACAAAGUUUGGCAUACAUGCGUGCAAGCACUCAGUAUAUCAAACAGGUCUCUAGGCUCUUGAGACAUGGAGUGACUACUUCGCGCAACAGCCCCUCUCCAUAUGAAGUGGAGCAAGAGACAUACACGUGCAUGAUGAGGUUGAAAAGUUCUUCUGAAGAGGAUUCAGUUCGAAUGCAACCAGGAUCUGGUGAAACUCACAUGUUCUUUCCAGAUAAUCAUAGUGAUGAUUUGAUCAUUGAAGUUCAAGAUUCUAAAAUACGGCAUUGCGGCCGUGUCCUUGCCCAAGUGGCUGCUAUUGCUGAUGACCCUAGUGACAAGCUCCGGUGGUGGCCCAUAUACCAUGAACCAGAGCAUGAACUCGUUGGCAGAAUACAGUUGUACAUAAACUAUUCAACUACUCCAGAUGAAAGUAAUCAUCCCAAGUGUGGUUGCGUUGCAGAAACUGUGGCGUAUGACUUUGUCUUGGAAGUUGCAAUGAAAGUUCAACAUUUUCAGCAAAGAAAUUUAUUUCUACAUGGUCCGUGGAAGUGGCUAGUGGCUGAAUUUGCAUCUUACUAUGGAGUUUCAGAUGCAUACACCAAAUUAAGAUACCUUUCCUAUAUCAUGGAUGUGGCUACACCCACUAAGGACUGUCUUGACUUGGUAUAUGAUCUGCUAGAACCUGUUAUCAUGAAGGGUAAGAGGAAGAGUGUUUUGAGCCAUCAAGAGAAUCGCAUCCUUGGAGAGGUUGAGGGUCAAAUUCAACAGAUUCUUGUUCUAGUUUUUGAAAACUACAAGUCACUUGAUGAAGAAGCACCAUCUGGUAUGAUGGAUAUUUUUGGUCCUGCCACUGGAUUGGCAGCUCCUGCAUUGACACCUGCUGUCAAACUAUACACCCUCUUGCAUGAUGUAUUAAGUUCUGAAGCACAGUUGAAGUUUUGCAAAUAUUUUCAGGCUGCUGCCAAAAAAAGGUCAAGAAGGCAUGUGGUUGAGACUGAUGAAUUUAUAAGCAGUAAUGAGGGCACGUUGAUGGAUCCCAUGAUGCUUUCAACUUCUUAUCAAAAGAUGAAAUAUCUUAUUUUAAGUAUGAGAAAUGAAAUAUGCACCGACAUUCAGAUCCACAAUCAGCAUGUGCUGCCAAGUUUCAUAGAACUUCCAAGUCUCUGCGCAUCCAUAUACAGUGUGGACCUGUCCAGUAGAUUGCGCACAUUUCUUGUUGCAUGUCCUCCUCCUGGCCUUUCAUCCCCUGUUGCUGAACUGCUUAUUGCAACAGCAGAUUUUCAAAAAGAUCUUGCGUCUUGGAACAUUAGUCCUGUGAAAGGUGGAGUU